rnacentral:lncRNA from 1 species
CCAGAGUUGGCUUUGAUGGUGGAUCUUAGUCUGAUCUGAAAUGAACAUGAGAAAAGGAGCCCCCUUCUUUUUUGUCUCUCUCCCUACCCGCUUGCCUCUCUACCUGUCCAUUUCUAGUUUUCUCUUGACUUGGUCUUGUCUUUCUCAGCCUCUCUUUCUCUUAGUCUCUGCCUGCACCUUUGUCUCUCUCUGUUUCUGUCAGUAGGGAGCACUUUGACCUCUACAGCUCCGUUUCCAGCUCCCCGUGGAAUGUGAUCCACACAGAUCAGGGAGGGCUGUGGGAUUUAUUUCACUCGUGGGUGACUUCAUACAAGCCCCAGAACAAAUUGCUCAAUGACCACUAAGUCAGCUGGUCCCAGGAGAUGGCUUCCAGAUGGACCUAGCACUGCCUGCUCAGACCCAGCAAUUCCCAGCCCCUGUUCUUGGGAGCUCUCUGGGCCUCUCAAGUGAUUGCUUUGCUGGUGCGUUCUUGGGAACCUGCCCUCUCCCGGCAGUUUCAAGGAAUUGCUUUUUUGCAGUAAGCAUUCCCCUAAAGUGAUAUGAUCUCCUCAGGAGUAAUAUAAUCCAUCCAAGGAGACCUUGCGGAUGAUGUCUUCAUCGCCCAGACACACAUUUGUGCGACGGCCAGGUGGGGCUCAGCCACAACACUGAUCACCUGUCGCAGUACCAUGUAGCGUGGGAGCUGUUCACACAGUGUCCAAAAGGAGAAUCUAGAGGGCAGUUGAUUUUUGUAUCUUUUAUCAAUUAUUCUGUGCCUGGAUGAUAAUAAUUCACCAGUCAGGCAAACAGUUUAAAAUAAUCUUGAAUUGUGGCCCUGUUAUCUAGUGUGUACCUGAAUUCAGACACUCACCUGCCCAGACUGGAGCAUGGACCGUGUGGACUCUCUCCAGACUGCAGUCAGGGCUGGUGGUCUUGGGGGACCAGCCCCUGAGCAGUGAUGAAGCCCUUUCUUUCUGUACCUGAGUUUUCUCAUCCAAAUGAGGGUCUGCAGUGUUACUGAAGCAUCCAGGGGGCCGCUGCCCUCUAUUGUUCCACUAACUUUCAGCUUUGUGUGUGUCUCGGGGGUGAGCACCAAAGGGAACGAUUUCAGUCUUUUCUAGUUCCAGAACCUCCCAGGAUUAGUCCAGCUGUACCCACACCACGGUUGCCAACGUGGCUUUUGCAUUUGGACUGUCACCCUUUUAGUCCAUGAAAGCCUUCGUGUCAGACCUGAGCUGCUGGAAGGAAUUUCAGUGCACUUGGAUGCUAACGAGCAGGACAGGAACCCUGGCCAACCUCACUGGCCAUUAAGGUUCUUUCCACCUUGUUGGGACUCCCUGACAAUUUCAGGAGGCAGCUCAGGCAGUAACUUUUAUAUUUUGUUUUCCUUUGCAGCUGAGUCAACAAGGUCAGGGCUAUUAAAGUGUGGAAUUGGGGCUCGAUUGCCAGGUGUCUAACUUCAGCCCACAGAUCUCCACGUUAAUGUUUGACUGACUUACCUGCACACUUCGAGAUUAUGUUAGACUAGGAAAUGCUGUGGUCUCCCUGUGCUGGGGCUUCCCUCCUCAAGAACCUGGUAGAAACUGGAGCCUGACACCUGGCAGAAGCUUGGGGAAUGUGGAAGCAAGGAUUCCCAUGCAACCUCCUGCAAGGGGAGGGUAGUAAUCAUCACUCACCUCAUGGGGCAAUGAUGCCGUUUAAAUGUGAUAAUGUAGGUAAAGAUGUAUACAAUAACUUCUACCAGUUAUCCUCAUGAUGAAAGAAUGAAGGGCUGGUUUAUCCUCAGACUUGUUAGGCAAGCAGAGCAAAGACACCGGCAACUUAGGGCAAAGUUUUUCUGCUAAGGAUUGCUUUUCUGCCUCGGUGGGUUCUUCUGGCCCCCAGGUCUGAGGUCUCAGGCACUGCCAGCCUUCAGCCAUUCCACCCCUUCGUCUGUGAAACGGAGAGAGAUUUUUUUUUUUCCUUCAGCAAACUUUUCCUAUGUGAUACUUCAGGCCUAGGUAUCAGGGACGAGACACCAUCCCAAGCCUCAGCCAGCUCCUUCAGCAGCAGGAAAGGGACUCUUGACCAUAAAGUAACCGUGGGACACGGUCAGUGCUACCAAGGAGGUAUAAGCCAAGCAGGGCUGGGGACCUACACAGAGCCUCAGGGGGCCAGAACUCAGAAUUUCUCUACAAAUAUGGGCAGUUGGUAACUCAUAACAAGCAGUGACAGGUGCUUCUCUUGGUGAGCCCCUGUACCUCGGUGUCUCCCACUUCCCCUGUGGUCCUUUACGACGUCCGUGUGUCUAGAUGUUUAGGAAAGUGAGGAUCUGAGAUAAAAGGGAGACGCUGAGAUGAACAUCUCCCAUGCUGGCCUGACCCGACCCGACUGAGCCCAUCUUUCCUGGACAUGGGCUGCCUCCAUCCUUCUGUGCCAGGCCAUAGCCGGACAGAUGGCGUCAACCCGUUUUGCAGAUAAGGAAAUGAAAACACAGCGAGGACCAGGAUGUCUGGGACAGUUUUUGUGCGUGAAAGGAACUCGGACCCCGGUCAGUUUCAUGCUUUGUUUCCUGGAAGAGGAACCAGAAGGCAGAAAUUGAAUCUUACCUCAGAUCAUGGGGCCUGGGGAAAGUAGUUCCAGACUCCUGGGCAUCUUUCUGUCCAAGGGGUUCACUGUGGGUCUUUCUCUCCUAGAAUGGUCUCCUUCCGACUGCCUCUGUCACUAUGUGAAAACUGGUGUGUGAAUGGCGGCCCGUGGGCGGUGCCCAGUGACAUCAUUUGUGGACUUGCUAUUUUUUCUUCCUCCUCAAACCACCCCCAGAACCCAGAGGCAGACAGACUCAGCUGUGGCUGCUGAGGGCUUUUAAGCCCUGGGAACCUGAUUCAGGACAAGAGUUCUUAUGCCCUGCAGGCCAAUAGGUGUGCUCUGGCAUCGUGAGGACCACCUCAGCUUGGGAUGAAUCCUUAGGGCUCAGCUAGUGCACUACACAGCCACCUAGAAUUAGAAUUGAGAGUGGCAGGUGGGUUGGGUUGUGAAAUAAAAUUUACCUAAGUCUCUAUUAGUCAGGAUUAUCCAGAGAAACAGAACCAAAGGGGGUGGGGGAUGGAGACAGAUCUAUUUUAAGGAAUUGGCUCAUGCAAGUGUGGGGCUGGCAAGUCUGAAGCCUGCAGGGUGGGCUAGCAGGCUGGAGACCCCAGGGAGGAGGAGGUUUUCACCUGAGUCCACAGGCUGUCCAGAGACGAGCCCUUCUGGGUCAACACUCUCUCCUUUGAACAAC